rnacentral:rRNA from 1 species
UGAGGAAUAUUGGGCAAUGCCCGCAAGGGUGACCCAGCAACGCCGCGUGGAGGAUGAAUGUCGUAAGAUUGUAAACUCCUGUUAGAGGGGAAGAAUAGUACCGGUUGGACCGGUAUAUGACUGUACCCUCAGAGAAAGCCCCGGCUAACUACGUGCCAGCAGCCGCGGUAAUACGCAGGGGGCAAGCGUUGUCCGGAUUUACUGGGUGUAAAGGGCGCGCAGGCGGGAUAAAAAGUCAGUGGUGAAAUCCUACAGCUUAACUGUAGAACUGCCUUUGAUACUUUUAUUCUUGAGUUCGGGAGAGAGAGACGGAAUUCCAGGUGUAGUGGUGAAAUACGUAGAUAUCUGGAAGAACACCAGUUGCGAAGGCGGUCUCUUGGUCCGACACUGACGCUGAGGCGCGAAAGCGUGGGGAGCAAACA